UUGCCGUUUGAUCUCAUAUAAACAAAGACACCUGUGUCUUACGUCAUUGGAAAUGGAAAUUAACCUUAGUCAAAUAGUCACAAUACGUGUAUUGAAGACACUCUCUUACAUAUCCGUGGCAUAAAAUGGAAAUAAUAAGGAACAACAAAGUUUUUUAUUUUAUUUUAUUAUUUUUAAUCUCAUAAGUGUAAUUUGCAGUUAUUUAUAGUAAUUCCUAUAAUGCAGUUUGUUUGUGACUUUCCUUAUGUGGCCAAAAGUUCAACUUAUUUGAAUAAGCUAAGAACUUCAAAAUGGAAAUUAGUCACUUGUCACUUGUGACAUAAAUUGUGACCGUCCUUGUGUCUCCCAUUCCCAAAACACAGAGCUACAUUCUAGGGAAUUAAACCAGUUAAAGUACAUAAACCUGGAACCUAAGUUUUUGAAUAAUUAUCAUCAGAUUUCCAGGUUCAUUUUAAGCAACAUCAUGAAGCAGACACAUUUACUCCUUUGUCUAACUAGUUUAUUCCCAGUUGCUAUCUCAAUCCUUGAAGACAUCCUACACAAAUAUGACCUGAUCAUGACACCGAAGUCAUGGCCAGAUGCACAGAAUUACUGCAGGACAAUGUACACUGACCUGUCAACAGUCAUAAGUGAUAGUGAUUGGCUAAGAUUGAACAAAGAAGCAGCAAGCAAAGGUCUGGCAGCAUCAGCCUGGGUCGGAGUAUAUGAUGAUUAUACUAGCUGGUGCUGGUCCCUAAAUGACCUUCGACUGAAGGAUGUCCGUUAUACAAGUUGGAAUAGUGGACAGCCUAAUAACGCUUUGUCAAUAGAAGCAUGUGUUAUGUUAUCUACAUCUGGUAAAUGGUUUGAUACAUAUUGCAAAUUUCUUAGAGCCUUCAUAUGCUACAAUGAUAGUUUCAGCGGCGCUGACAAGUUCAUUGGCAUCAAAAGUCUAGUGACCUGGCCUGAAGCUCAGGCUUACUGCCGAACAUAUCACACAGACUUGGCCAGCUCUCUUAACAGCUCGGACCAAAUCAUCUUAACACAGAUAAGAAAUAUCCAGGGUGACUCCUGGGUUGGCCUAUACAGAGAUACUUGGAAGUGGUCGGAUGGCACCACCAAUUUAAAGUUUGCUUGGGCUACUGGACAACCAGAUAAUUCUGAGAGAAUUAUGGGGUCCUGUGGAUCAGUUAAUAACGGAUUUUUUCGGUGAUGAACCUUGCACCAACCUGCACUAUUUCUUCUGUCACACCAUUCCACCAAUGAGGACUUACAUAAAAUUGCAGUUGAAGUCUAAUGGAAAUGUGUUUGAUCCUGCUCUGCAGUCAUCUAUUUUAGAACUGAUUAAGCAAAAACUUGAACAAAGGGGAAUGCUGGAGGCCACCAAAGUGACCUGGAGGGUGCAGCCAGAUGGGAACAUCUUUCACAAGAAAAAAGCACCACCUGUAAUAUCUGAAUGCUUAACUGGUGUUUAACAGAACUGUUCAUUUAAAGCUUAAAUAAUUUCUAUAAAACCUAUAAUAAUCAAAACAUUUUUAGCAGUGUAAAUUUUUACACUACAAUAUACCUGUAAAAUGCAUACAACAACUAUAUGGAUGUGCUGCAAUCUUUCCAGAGGCUGUAGAGGUCUUAUUUAAACUGUACUA